GGGGGUGUCACGGUUUCGACGGGGUAUGGAAAGGCUUUUGGAGGCGUCCCGGUAUCGCACCACCGUAAUAGGGCGGAACUUUAUAAUUGCCAACGACGAGCAUUACGCUCCGGUGAUGGCAGCGGCCUAAAACCGCUGUUUGAUCGGGGUCCAGGCCUGGGCCCGGCAACAUAAGUCUGUACGACAGGGUCGAGCCGGAGAGUGAAGGCCGGUUAAAAUCCAGGGUCACCCAGUGUUCCGAGGUAACGGAGGCGGCGGGUUCAGCCGGUCUGAAACGGAUCCGCCGCAUAUGACCGGCAAAAUGGGCGUACAUCUUCCGAGUUGAAUACAUGUUUCGGACGCGGGUUCGACUCCCGCCACCUCCACCA
rnacentral:tmRNA from 1 species